CCUACGGGAGGCAGCAGUAGGGAAUCUUCCACAAUGGGCGCAAGCCUGACGGAGCAACGCCGCGUGGGUGAAGAAGGUCUUCGGAUCGUAAAACUCUGUUGUUAGAGAAGAAAGAGCGUGAGAGUAACUGUUAACGUUUAGACGGUAUCUAACCAGAAAGCCACGGCUAACUACGUGCCAGCAGCCGCGGUAAUACGUAGGUGGCAAGCGUUGUCCGGAAUUAUUGGGCGUAAAGGGACCGUAGGCGGUCUUUUAAGUCUGAUGUGAAAGCCUUCGGCCUAACCGGUGUAGUGCAUUGGAUACUGGGGAACUUGAGUGCAGAAGAGGAGAGUGGAACUCCAUGUGUAGCGGUGAAAUGCGUAGAUAUAUGGAGGAACACCAGUGGCGAAGGCGGCUCUCUGGUCUGUAACUGACGCUGAGGUUCGAAAGCGUGGGUAGCAAACAGGAUUAGAUACCCCUGUAGUC
rnacentral:rRNA from 1 species